AAGUAAGUAUGGCUUUCCAACCUUGGUGUUGACCUAGGAGUACUGCAAGUAUCCAGAUAGAGUUGAUGCGUCUUAUAAUGAUAGCGUAAUCAAGGUGUCCUGGUAGGAAGGCCACAUCUCAUGUCUUUUCCGGGUUCCUGUCCAGACAUCACUCUGAACCUAACGUUGGUGUUAACGGGAGACACUGUUGCUGGGCAGGUAUGUGACGACGUGGGCCUCACCGAGAGCACAGGCCACCUGACCUGCGCAUACGUAGGUGUCCAGUUAAGAGGUGAAAGUCUUACCCGACAUUGUUGUUGACCUGAAUUAACGCACGUACCCAGGUUCCUGUCACGAGAUCACUGUGAACAUAACAGUGGUUGCUAACAGAAUCUUGCUUUCAACCAGGUAAGUGAUAAAGUGGAUCCUACCACAGUGAAGACCCUCUGAUCUUCAAUAUGAAGGUAUCCCUUCAAGAGAAGAUGGUGUUUCUUCUCAGGAAUUGACCUUGAACUCCUGCAACUAGCCAGAUUCAUGUCAAGACAUCCUGGU